UACGAAGGGUGCAAGCGUUACUCGGAAUUACUGGGCGUAAGGCGUGCGUAGGUGGUGAGUUAAGUCUGUCGUGAAAGCCCCGAGCUUAACUUGGGAAUUGCGCUUGUGACUGGCGUGCUGGAGUGUGGCAGAGGGAGGUGGAAUUCCACGUGUAGCAGUGAAAUGCGUAGAGAUGUGGAGGAACACCGAUGGCGAAGGCAGCCUCCUGGGCCAGCACUGACGCUCAUGCACGAAAGCGUGGGGAGCAAACAGG
rnacentral:rRNA from 1 species